GUGCUACAAGAGAUUGGCCCAUGAUAGCCAGUUAUAACCAGGCAGUGGGCAUCUCAGGGGUUUGCAUAGGUCUAACCUUAAAAAGCCACAUGACUGGGUGCGGUGACACACACUUGUAAUCCCAGCACUUUGGGAGGCCAAGACACAAGGAUCACCUGAACCUGGGAGUUGGAGACCAGCUCUGGCAUCACACUACUCUCCAGAGAGACCGGAUCUUCAAACAUUUUACCAGGAAGCGCCAAAGGGCUAUGCGAAGGCGAGUCCACCAGAUCAAUGGACACAAGUUCAUGGCCACGUAUCUGAGGCAGCCCACCUACUGCUCUCACUGCAGGGAGUUUAUCUGGGGAGUGUUUGGGAAACAGGGUUAUCAGUGCCAAGUGUGCACCUGUGUCGUCCAUAAACGCUGCCAUCAUCUAAUUGUUACAGCCUGUACUUGCCAAAACAAUAUUAACAAAGUGGAUUCAAAGAUUGCAGAACAGAGGUUCGGGAUCAACAUCCCACACAAGUUCAGCAUCCACAACUACAAAGUGCCAACAUUCUGCGAUCACUGUGGCUCACUGCUCUGGG
rnacentral:lncRNA from 10 species